rnacentral:rRNA from 1 species
UACAGAGGUGGCAAGCGUUGUUCGGAAUUAUUGGGCGUAAAGCGCGUGUAGGCGGCCUUGCAAGUCGGGUGUGAAAUCCCUCAGCUUAACUGAGGAAGUGCGCCCGAAACUGCAGGGCUUGAGUACCGGAGAGGGUGGCGGAAUACCCCAAGUAGAGGUGAAAUUCGUAGAUAUGGGGUGGAACACCGGUGGCGAAGGCGGCCACCUGGACGGAUACUGACGCUGAGACGCGAAAGCGUGGGGAGCAAACAGG